rnacentral:lncRNA from 1 species
GUGUCUGCCCCAUUCAACGAACGCUGCGCAUGGUGGAGGCCAGAGGCGCGCCAUUGUCAUGCGUUUCGUUACCGCAGGUGACCCUAGCUUCCCUCGUCUAUUUAGAAAGCUGCGACCGAAGCCUAAGCUAUUCACCUCUCCGUGCUCCUCGCGUCCGCCACCCUAGAAAGAUCACGGGAGCCCUCGGUGUGGUGUCCGCGCAGAAGUUAGGGGGGCACCACGGAUUGUGGUGUAGCGUCUUCACAUCGGCGAGGACGCAUACCCUAGGAGCAUCGCAAGAUCACACCAAGCGUACCCGUGGAGGUGGUGGGCUCUGACGGUAGGGGUAGAAGAGUGGAUUGCUCGCCGGAGUUCAACGAGAGCCUCCGUCCGCCCCACGCCCGGUUCUGCGCGCACGUCAUCACGAUUUUCGGUACGAACCCCUUUCAUAGUUUAGAAUUGAUCCUCGCUUUGUUUAGAUGGGUCCUGCGUAGAGAAUCAAGAACCGUAUCAAUGUCAGGGCUGUCGCCGGUGAUGUUCCGCCAUAUGGGGACGGUGGCGCCGCCAUUCAAAACGAAACGGGUGAGGAAAAAUGGCGUAUGCCGUUGAUGAGCAAGCGAAUGGCUGGGAUUAUCCGGCGCGUACCCGUUCGGCGGUGUCAAUCCGGACCGUCCAUCUCUGAUCGAGCGCAUGUGAUUCACCGUGGGCAACGUAAGAUCCGGACGGUUGAACUAAGAUCCUAGGGCCAAAUAUGCGUACCAGUUCACUUAAUGCGACAUCUAAUCAUGGCCCUCAGAAUGAGAUCCAAUGGCUAGAAUCCAUCCAUACUCUCGGUCGCGACAGAUUUACAUCUGAGGCCCUCAGGAUUCGCUAAAUAGAACCCGCAAUCCACCCAGGUGUUGUCUGAGUCUUGGAAAACUUUGCAAGUUAACCCUUGUGCUAUUUGGUAUUUAAUGUGCAGUCCAACAGCCAGGGAAUUAAGAAAAAACAAUAUUAGAAGUUGAUUUUAAUACAAAAAUGAAUCCAGAAAAUUGUAUAAUUCAUAUUUAAUUCAUUUGAAGUCCAAAUUAAUCCAUUCUAGUUUCUAUAAUUUUGUAAUAUUAUUGUUUAUCAGAUAGUGUCUCUGUUUUGACAUGAAAAUCAUAUUAAAUGUAUCUCUUAAUUAAUCUUGUAUAAAAACAUAAAACCUUAAGAAAAUCAUAACCCCUUCGUUUUAAUUCUGAAUUGACUCGUUCCAGUUGCGUUAUCUUUGUAAUAAAAUUUCCUACUCAGAAACAACACUAUUUGUGUCAUAUCCAAUACUUUUAUAAUUAGAUCUUUAUUUAACUUAUGUUGGUUAGUCUUGUUAAUCUGGUUAACAUUAUAAUCUACUAAAAUAUGAUCUAUGGUCAAUUUAUAAUUUAGAUUAAAGUUGAAUUAAUUACUACUGUAGGUUAUCUUUUCUCUGGAAUUAUAAAAUAAACAUAGAACCUAGUUUUAAUCAUUUAAUCCCAUCAUAACUUGAUGACCGUAACUCCGAAUUUAGUGAUUCUCAUCCCAACGAUCUCCUAGCAAUGCGUAUAUUAUUAUUAUGCAGUAUGUUCUUAUGUCUUGUGAGAUGUUAAUUUUGUCUAUACCAUGUUUGUUUGUAUUGCUACGACUAGCAGUGAGGACACGAGGAUCUAAGGAUCAUCCUGGUACCUGGAAUCUCAAGUCCCAGGCAAGUUGUGCCCUUGAUCACUUUUGCUUACCCAAUAAUGUUCUUUAUAAUCAUUUAUUCAUGCAUAGGUUUAAUUUUGAUGGGACCCAAUAGAUCACCC